rnacentral:rRNA from 1 species
AUUGAACGCUGGCGGCAUGCCUUACACAUGCAAGUCGAACGGCAGCACGGGUGCUUGCCCCUGGUGGCGAGUGGCGAACGGGUGAGUAAUACAUCGGAACAUGUCCUGUAGUGGGGGAUAGCCCGGCGAAAGCCGGAUUAAUACCGCAUACGAUCUACGGAUGACAGCGGGGGACCUUCGGGCCUCGCGCUAUGGGGUUGGCCGAUGGCUGAUUAGCUCGUUGGUGGGGUAAAGGCGUACCAAGGCGACGAUCAGUAGCUGGUCUGAGAGGACGACCAGCCACACUGGGACUGAGACACGGCCCAGACUCCUACGGGAGGCAGCAGUGGGGAAUUUUGGACAAUGGGCGAAAGCCUGAUCCAGCAAUGCCGCGUGUGUGAAGAAGGCCUUCGGGUUGUAAAGCACUUUUGUCCGGAAAGAAAUCCUUGGCCCUAAUACGGUCGGGGGAUGACGGUACCGGAAGAAUAAGCACCGGCUAACUACGUG